GGUGUGGCAGAGGCCCUAAUUAGAGAUUGGGGAGACCGCAUUGUUUACAGCUGCAUCCACUCGAUCUCCCCACCUACCCAUGUCAUGCAGCCUGGGGUAGAGUGUGCAGGAGAGGGGCUGGAAUUUCUAUCUGUCGUUCCAGGUUAUCAUUCCCAGUCAGUCCCAAGGGGGAAAGUGAGCAUAAAGCAGUAUGGAAGGGACAGGCCAUCUCACUAAUAUUCCCCUCUCCAAACUCCCUCUCCAGGUGAUGCUGUGUCCUAAGAAGAGCACUGGGCAUGUCCACUGGGCAUGUUCAGAUGGGCAUGUCCCACUGAAGUCCCUGCUUGAGUCUGUGUAUUGGGAGCAUUCCAGCAGGGUGGUAGCAGAGUCGGGAGGUGGCGGACCUGGAGACUGUGCUGUACACAUACCUCAUUGAGCCUGUGCUCCAUUAUGACCAGGGGCCCCAGCACAGAAAACAGGACAAGCCUCCUAUCUCUGCUCUUCGAGGCCAUGUCAGGUCCCUCUGGAGCUGAGAGAGUCAUCUGAUGUCUUAGAACCCAGGACUUGGGAGCCCCAGCGGACAGCCACCUCCAGAUGCUUGAGUGUAGACCCUGACAGCAUGAAGAGGCUGCCAUUCUAGCCACCCAUUGAAACCGGGGCUCUUGCAUGCACUGCUGGAAAGAAAUGACGCCGCAGCCCCCGCUGGAGCUGAGCCACAGUAGAGCUCGGCCUAUGGCUAAACUAGUCUCAUUACAAAACAGCAGCAAAAGGUUUUUUUGUGUUUUGUUCUGAAACCUGAUUCCUUGAAACUUCCAUUCAAGGGUUCUCAUCCUGGAGAAACAUCUAGGGACUUAAUCUCCCUCCAGUCUACAGACCUUGAACUAUCUGGAGAGAGCUG
rnacentral:lncRNA from 1 species